GGGAAGAGGGAGAAAUCCUUUAGUUUUGCGAUUAGGCUGCCAGGCUUUGUAAAGGGCUUAAAAACAAAGUCAUGCUCAGCCUUUUGUAGGAGAGAUCCAGAUGUUAUGUAGAUUUCUGUUUGCAUGUUCGUUUUGAGCGGAUCUGGCGGUGAGCGCUGUAUUUACGUGUGUGUUGCAGGACUUCAACGUUUUUCGACGUUGCGCUUGUGGAAUGUAUGCCGGAGUAUUAGCUCGAGGAUCUACAAGAUUAAAGCUAGUCCCAAGAGCAACCGAAUUGCUGUGACUGACUUUCACGGGACUUUAAAGAGAGCUGCCUAUAAAACUCCAGAAGAGGAGCGCUCUCAUUUUUACAGAAGUUUUUGGUCCGGAGAGAACAAUAUACUCCUACCUCUUUUGAAAUGAUCCAGAGACUCUCACAACACACAGGCAGGCGAUCACUCGAAGCAUGAAUUUCCCCCCCCCUUUUUUUUUCAAGAACUGCUCGGCCCAUUGUUUGAAACGGGAUUCAGCGCACAGCCCAAAGAGAAAAGGGAAAAAAAAAAGUCUUAGGAGCUCGCUUUGGUAUUGCAUUGAGAGAGCUGACAAAAUAUUAUAGCGUUUCCUAGAAGUAUGUGGCAAGAGCCAGUGGUGUGUUCUCAAAAAGAGGUUGCUUUUUAUUUUUUUCCCCCUAAGAUUGUGAUUGUCUUUGUAUGUCUUUCUUUUGAUCCCACAAAGAGAAUACAAUAUACAUAUAUGUAUUUGUUCUCCAUACAAGAAAUGCCGUACAAUGGAAUAUGCGACUGGUUAGUCCUCAUAAUGCUUAGUUUUGCUGUAAUUAAUUGAAAACAGUUAUUAGGUCGUCAUUGGCACUAGCGUAAAUAAUUGCAGCAGAUUUUUACUUAAAAUUGACCGGUCAUAGAGUGAUAGAUCGAUUCGAAGUAUAAAAAUGAUGUAUCAAAACAUCAAUGUCGAUUAUUUGAAAUAUUGUAGUCGAAUCUUUUUAUUGCUUCAUCGGUUAAGUGUCUGAAAGUGCUGUGUUCCAACAUAUAUUUAUGUUGUCAAUACUGUCAAAACUGUCAGUUUUAUUACAGUGGAUUUGUAAUACAUUUCAGAUUUGCUCAUUUACAUAAAAUGUCCACCCCAGAUACCCCUCCUUUUCUCCAUCUCUGGAAAUCUGUGUCAGUUUAAUGAGAGGAUUCAAGACUCAUACCUGAAGAGAAAAAGAAGAAGAAAAAAAAAGAGGUAUUUCUCCAUUAUGUCCAAUUUAAACAUCCAUUUGGAAAGCUUGAGCUAUUUCUAACUUGCCUUAAGAGGGAAUUCCUUCACCACCACCACCACCACUUCUCCCUGGUUAUUUCCUCAGUAGGAUUUAAACACUUUUCUACUCUCACACCUAGAUUAAACCCUGCAGGAGAAUUGGGAAACUGAGGAGGGAGACAGUGACAAGCCAGAGCACACCUGUGAAUGCUGCAACCCUCCUGGAGAGUGCAAUAGCCCCCCAAACCAUGCACACACAUGCACAGGGGUUUACAUCCUGCCAGAAAGGAGACAAAAGGAGCAAUAAAUAUGUGUGUGAUCCUUUCUUAAUGAUUAGG
rnacentral:lncRNA from 1 species